GGGCUCGUAGCUCAACGGUUAGAGCAGCGGACUCAUAAUCCGUUGGUUGCUGGUUCAAAUCCGGCCGGGCCCACUA
rnacentral:tRNA from 1 species